AUCCAGCUGACAAGUCUCAAAUAGGAUGAAACGCGUGCCCUGGAU
rfam:Schistosoma curassoni strain Dakar, Senegal genome assembly, scaffold: SCTD_scaffold0000734